AACGAACGCUGGCGGCAUGCUUAACACAUGCAAGUCGAACGAUGAUGUCCAGCUUGCUAGAUUGAUUAGUGGCAAACGGGUGAGUAACGCGUGGGAACCUACCUUAUAGUACGGAAUAGCCGUUGGAAACGACGAAUAAUACCGUAUGCGCUCUACGGAGGAAAGAUUUAUCGCUAUAAGAUGGGCCCGCGUUGGAUUAGCUAGUUGGUAGGGUAAUGGCCUACCAAGGCAACGGUCCAUAGCUGGUUUGAGAGGAUAAUCAGCCACACUGGGACUGAGAUACGGCCCAGACUCCUACGGGAGGCAGCAGUGGGGAAUAUUGGACAAUGGGCGAAAGCCUGAUCCAGCAAUGCCGCGUGAGUGAUGAAGGCCUUAGGGUUGUAAAGCUCUUUUAGUGGGGAAGAUAAUGACGGUACCCACAGAAAAAGCACCGGCUAACUCCGUGCCAGCAGCCGCGGUAA
rnacentral:rRNA from 1 species